AGCACGGCUCAGUAUCCGGGCAGGUCUAAGGAGUCGCAGCCAAUCAGAAAAAAGCUUCUGGCGGCCCCGCGGAGGGGUGCAGCACUUUCGGUUCCCGGUGCGCGUGGGGCGGCGGCGGCACGAGGAGGAGGAGGGGGUCGGGUCGGGUCGGGACGGGACGGGACGGGUCGGGUCGGUACCGGGCGGGACGGGGCAGAGCGAAGCCCGCAGACCCCAAUGCAAUGGCUGAUGAAGAGCUGAGCCCCCAGGCCACCAAGAAGGGCACUGUGUCACCCGGAGGGUCCCGGAGCAGCGCGGCAGAGCCGGGCACGUUGCUGCAGAAACUGCGGGGCAACAUCUCCAAAGCAGUGCAGAACAAAGUCGAUGCCAUCCUGGGCGAGGAGCUGCUCAGCACCCA
rnacentral:lncRNA from 1 species